AUUGAACGCUGGCGGCAGGCCUAACACAUGCAAGUCGAACGGUAACAGGAAGAAGCUUGCUUCUUUGCUGACGAGUGGCGGACGGGUGAGGAAUGUCUGGGAAACUGCCUGAUGGAGGGGGAUAACUACUGGAAACGGUAGCUAAUACCGCAUAACGUUGCAAGACCAAAAAGGGGGACCUUCGGGCCUCUUGCCAUCGGAUGUGCCCAGAUGGGAUUAGCUAGUAGGUGGGGUAACGGCUCACCUAGGCGACGAUCCCUAGCUGGUCUGAGAGGUUGACCAGCCACAGUGGAACUGAGACACGGUCCAGACUCCUACGGGAGGCAGCAGUGGGGAAUAUUGCACAAUGGGCGCAAGCCUGAUGCAGCCAUGCCGCGUGUAUGAAGAAGGCCUUCGGGUUGUAAAGUACUUUCAGCGGGGAGGAAGGGAGUAAAGUUAAUACCUUUGCUCAUUGACGUUACCCGCAGAAGAAGCACCGGCUAACUCCGUG
rnacentral:rRNA from 1 species